rnacentral:lncRNA from 1 species
CCCUCAGCCCCCUCAUCCUCACCUCUCUAAAUCCAGAUCAGAUCCGGGCUGAAUGGAAUGUCCACCCCUGCAGGGAUGCCUUUCCCAGCCUGCAUGGAUUCUGACACUGGACACCCUGCUGUGGACCAUCUUCAACCUGCUUAGGCUCUGGACCACUGCAGUCCAUCUCCGACACACACAUACCUCGGAUGCUUGCCUUGCUCUGCCCCACUUCACGAUUUAGGACCGAAUUUUUCAGGAAGGAAAGAGAAGAGCUCUGAAAGACUUUUAACAGAAAAUAAAGGGCUUCUAGGAUGUCUACAGACUUGUAGUUUGUCAUUUUCUAAUCUUAAUGUUUAUAACUAAUAUUUUAGUAUGAAUUAUUAAUUUAUCUGAGGUGAAUAAAAUUCACUGAGUUCAUUGGUAUCUCAUAAGAUGUAAAACUAGUUCUUCUGAUAUUCUGGAGAAAUGUUUAUUUUAUCUGAUAUCUGUCUUCUAUGAGCAGAUGGAGUGAGCCAUUCAUAUUUUUUUUUCAUUUUGAAGAAGACCGAGGUCUGGAAAAGCUUCAAAAAUUGCGGGUCUAUAGCAAUUGAUUAAUAAUUAAUAGUAAGCCAUGUGACAUUCUAGCAUGUCACUUAGUAAUCACCAUAGUUUUAAGGAAAGCUUACUGCUUAGUGAAUGUCUUUUUCUGUUUUUCACUUCUCUAAAAUCUUUUAAUGCACCUUAUUGGGUUUUGGUGUAAAUUAUGAAUAAGAAAGACAUUUUUCUCAGUUUUUAUGAGGUUAAAAAAUUGAUUUAUAAAAUGUUAACUUUAAGAAUUCAUUCUUUUCAUUUGGUUCACUGUGUCAAGUUUGUUUGGAAAUGCGACCUGUGUGUGCCUGUGUGUCAUCACUUUGCAUGCAAGUUUUCUCCGGC